CUUGGGAUGGGGGUUCCCUCAGCCCAAAUUGCGAGAGGGCGCAGGCCAGGCUGAGGGACCCCACCUGUGCAUA
rnacentral:pre_miRNA from 1 species